AAAGGCAGAGGCUCAACCUCUGGACUGCGUUGGAUACUUCCGUGCUUGAGGACUUGGAGGGGAGACUGGAAUUCACGGUGUAGCAGUGAAAUGCGUAGAUAUCGUGAGGAAGACCGGUGGCGAAGGCGAGUCUCUGGACAGAUCCUGACGCUGAGGCACGAAGGCUGGGGGAGCGAACAGGAUUAGAUACCCUGGUAGUCCCAGCAGUAAACGAUGUGAGCUUGAUGUGGGGGGAUUCGACCCCUUCCGUGUCGAAGCUAACGCGAUAAGCUCACCGCCUGAGGAGUACGGCCGCAAGGCUAAAACUCAAAGAAAUUGACGGGGACCCGCACAAGCGGUGGAGUAUGUGGCUUAAUUCGAUGCAACGCGAAGAACCUUACCUGGCCUUGACAUGCAUUGUGUCGUCGGUGAAAGCCGGCUAGUCCUGGAAACAGGACGCUUUGCACAGGUGCUGCAUGGCUGCCGUCAGCUCGUGUCGUGAGAUGUUGGGUUAAGUCCCGCAACGAGCGCAACCCUUGUGGUCAGUUACUAACCGGCUUAGCCGGAGGACUCUGGCCAGACUGCCCUGUCAAACGGGGAGGAAGGUGGGGACGACGUUAAGUCAGUAUGGCCCUUAUGGCCAGGGCUGCACACGUACUACGAUGCCCGGUACAAUGUGAACCGAAACCGCGGGGUGGAGGAAAUCGCUCUUGAAAACCGGGCCCAGUUCGGAUUGGAGUCUGCAACUCGACUCCAUGAAGUCGGAAUCGCUAGUAAUGGCGUAUCAGCAACGACGCCGUGAAUACGUUCCCGGGUCUUGUACACACCGCCCGUCACAUCAUGGAAGUCUCCUGUGCCCGAAGCACAUGCGCCAACCUUUUAGGAGGCAGCGUUCGAAGG
rnacentral:rRNA from 1 species